UGCGCAGGCGGGCUUGUAAGUCAGUGGUGAAAUACUGCCGCUUAACGGUAGAACUGCCAUUGAUACUGCGAGUCUUGAAUAUCGUUGAGGUAGGCGGAAUGUGUUGUGUAGCGGUGAAAUGCAUAGAUAUGACACAGAACGCCGAUUGCGAAGGCAGCUUACUAAGCCAUUAUUGACGCUGAGGCACGAAAGCGUGGGGAGCGAACAGGAUUAGAUACCCUGGUAGUCC
rnacentral:rRNA from 1 species